CCUACGGGUGGCAGCAGUCGAGAAUUUUUCUCAAUGGGGGAAACCCUGAAGGAGCGACGCCGCGUGGGGGAUGAAGGGCUUCGGCCUGUAAACCCCUGUCAUUCGCGAACAAACCUUCUGGUCUAACACACCGGGAGCUGAUAGUAGCGGAAGAGGAAGAGACGGCUAACUCUGUGCCAGCAGCCGCGGUAAUACAGAGGUCUCAAGCGUUGUUCGGAUUCACUGGGCGUAAAGGGUGUGUAGGCGGUAAGGUAAGUUUGGUGUGAAAGCUUCGGGCUUAACCCGAAAAUAGCACUGAAUACUAUCUUGCUUGAGGAUUGGAGAGGGGACUGGAAUUCUCGGUGUAGCAGUGAAAUGCGUAGAUAUCGAGAGGAACACCAGUAGCGAAGGCGAGUCCCUAGACAAUUCCUGACGCUGAGGCACGAAAGCCAGGGGAGCAAACGGGAUUAGAUACCCCUGUAGUC
rnacentral:rRNA from 1 species